rnacentral:rRNA from 1 species
CAAAACGACUCUCGGCAACGGAUAUCUCGGCUCUCGCAUCGAUGAAGAACGUAGGGAAAUGCGAUACUUGGUGUGAAUUGCAGAAUCCCGUGAACCAUGGAGUCUUUGAACCCAAGUUGCGCCCGAAGCCAUUAGGCCGAGGGCACGUCUGCCUGGGCGUCACA